UAACAAAAACAUGUCUGUGUGUAAUUUAUUACAAAGUCUAGCCUGCCCACUGAUUUAUUUUAAAGGGCCGCGGUAAUUUGACCGUGCGAAGGUAGCAUAGUCAGUAGUCUUUUAAUUGAAGGCUUGAAUGAAUGGUUGGACGAGGGAUAAGCUGUCUCUUUUGUAUAUUUUGAAUUUAACUUUUGAGUGAAAAGGCUCAAAUUAUUUAAGGGGACGAUAAGACCCUAUAAAACUUAAUAUAAGUUGGGCUUAAUUUAUGAUUUAGGUGAAAAAUGAUUUUGUUUGGUUUAUAUUUCGUUGGGGAGAUGAAGAUAUAAAAUGUAACUGUCUAUUUAAAUUUAAUAAUAUUAAUUAGUAUGUGAUCCUUCUUUGUGGAUUAUAAGAAUAAGUUACUUUAGGGAUAACAGCGUAAUUUUCUUUGAGAGUUCUUAUCGACAAGAGUAGUUGCGACCUCGAUGUUGAAUUAAAGUUUCAGCUAGGUGUAGCCGUUUAGCUAGUAGGUCUGUUCGACCUUUAAAACUUUACGUGAUCUGAGUUCAGACCGGA
rnacentral:rRNA from 1 species